rnacentral:rRNA from 1 species
UUUACUUCCAUUGUAGGUAACGUAUUUGGUUUCAAAGCCCUACGUGCUCUACGUUUGGAGGAUCUACGAAUUCCCCCUACUUAUUCAAAAACUUUCCAAGGCCCGCCUCAUGGUAUCCAAGUUGAAAGAGAUAAGUUGAACAAGUACGGUCGUCCUUUAUUGGGAUGUACUAUUAAACCAAAAUUGGGAUUAUCCGCAAAAAAUUAUGGUAGAGCGUGGUGGACUUGA